rnacentral:rRNA from 1 species
UACGGAGGAGGCAAGCGUUAUCCGGAAUUAUUGGGCGUAAAGCGUCCGCAGGUGGCGAUUCAAGUCUGCGGUCAAAGACUGGGGCUUAACCCUGGAAAGGCCGUGGAAACUGAAUAGCUAGAGUGCAGUAGGGGUAGAGGGAAUUCCCGGUGUAGCGGUGAAAUGCGUAGAGCUCGGGAAGAACAUCGGUGGCGAAAGCGCUCUGCUGGACUGCAACUGACACUCAGGGACGAAAGUUAGGGGAGCGAAUGGG